AAAGUGGAGCAAUCCAUGAGUAGAGUGGCAAACGGGUGUGUAACACGUGGGUGACCUGCCUUCGAGUGGGGGAUAACCUUCCGAAAGGAGGGCUAAUACCGCAUGACAUACCGUGUUUGGAUACACGGAUAUCAAAGCCGGGGAUCGCAAGACCUGGCGCUUGAAGAGGGGCCCGCGUCCGAUUAGCUAGUUGGUGGGGUAACGGCUCACCAAGGCCCCGAUCGGUAUCCGGCCUGAGAGGGCGGACGGACACACUGGAACUGAGACACGGUCCAGACUCCUACGGGAGGCAGCAGUGGGGAAUUGUUCGCAAUGGGCGCAAGCCUGACGACGCAACGCCGCGUGGAGGAUGAAGAAUUUCGGUUCGUAAACUCCUUUCGACCGAGAUGAAUACUCACGGACCUAACACGUCCGUGGGCUGACAGUAUCGAGAGAAGAAGCCCCGGCUAACUCUGUGCCAGCAGCCGCGGUAAUACAGGGGGGGCAAGCGUUGUUCGGAAUUACUGGGCGUAAAGGGUUCGUAGGUGGCCACUUAAGUCAGACGUGAAAUCCCUCAGCUUAACUGGGGAACUGCGUCUGAUACUGAGUGGCUUGAGUGCAGGAGAGGGAUGCGGAAUUCCAGGUGUAGCGGUGAAAUGCGUAGAUAUCUGGAGGAACACCGGUGGCGAAGGCGGCAUCCUGGACUGUAACUGACACUGAGGAACGAAAGCCAGGGGAGCAAACGGGAUUAGAUACCCCGGUAGUCCUGGCCCUAAACGAUGAAUGCUUGGUGUGGCGGGUAUCGAUCCCUGCCGUGCCGCAG
rnacentral:rRNA from 1 species